GCCAGCACAGUCGAUAGGGUUGUUCCGGUACUCAGGGGCCAGUAGGCCGGUUUCGACCGGCUACGUCAUGUUUUGAUAAGCUUUCUAGUCUUAGUAAUCCAGUUCAACCAGACACGAAUACAUCUUGCAGGUUUGUUGAUAAGUUUCCUCCUAAACUAGAUGACCACUCCGAGGAAACAACACGCGUGUUGGGUUCGUUCUAGAGGUCAAAUGUCCACGAGGAUUCCUGCUAAUACCGUGUUGUUACUUGCUAUGUUCAAUACCAGCUUGAUCGGGCC